GCUCGUGCCGUGAGGUGUCGGGUUAAGUCCCAUAACGAGCGCAACCCCUAUCAUUAGUUGCCAUCAGGUCAAGCUGGGGACUCUAAUGAAACUGCCUACGCAAGUAGUGAGGAAGGUGGGGAUGACGUCAAAUCAGCACGGCCCUUACGUCCAGGGCUACACACGUGCUACAAUGGCCGGUACAAAGGGCAGCUACCUGGUGGCAGGAUGCUAAUCUCAAAAGCCGGUCUACAGUUCGGAUUGCAGUCUGCAACUCGACUGCAUGAAGUUGGAAUCGCUAGUAAUCGUGGAUCAGCCAAGCCGCGGUGAAUACGUUCCCGGCCUU
rnacentral:rRNA from 1 species